rnacentral:rRNA from 1 species
AAAUUGAAGAGUUUGAUCAUGGCUCAGAUUGAACGCUGGCGGCAGGCCUAACACAUGCAAGUCGAACGGUAACAGGAAGCAGCUUGCUGCUUCGCUGACGAGUGGCGGACGGGUGAGUAAUGUCUGGGAAACUGCCUGAUGGAGGGGAUAACUACUGGAAACGGUGGCUAAUACCGCAUAACGUCGCAAGACCAAAGAGGGGGACCUUCGGGCCUCUUGCCAUCAGAUGUGCCCAGAUGGGAUUAGCUAGUUGGUGAGGUAACGGCUCACCAAGGCGACGAUCCCUAGCUGGUCUGAGAGGAUGACCAGCCACACUGGAACUGAGACACGGUCCAGACUCCUACGGGAGGCAGCAGUGGGGAAUAUUGCACAAUGGGCGCAAGCCUGAUGCAGCCAUGCCGCGUGUAUGAAGAAGGCCUUCGGGUUGUAAAGUACUUUCAGCGGGGAGGAAGGUGUUGUGGUUAAUAACCGCAGCAAUUGACGUUACCCGCAGAAGAAGCACCGGCUAACUCCGUGCCAGCAGCCGCGGUAAUACGGAGGGUGCAAGCGUUAAUCGGAAUUACUGGGCGUAAAGCGCACGCAGGCGGUCUGUCAAGUCGGAUGUGAAAUCCCCGGGCUCAACCGGGAACUGCAUUCGAAACUGGCAGGCUUGAGUCUUUGUAGAGGGGGUAGAAUUCCAGGUGCAGCGGUGAAAUGCGUAGAGAUCUGGAGGAAUACCGGAGUAGAAGGCGGCCCCCUGGACAAAGAAUGACGCUCAGGUGCGAAAGAGUGGGCCGCAAACAGCAUUAGAUACCCUCGUAGUCCACGCCGUAAACGAUGUCUACUUGGAGGUUGUGCCCUUGAGGCGUGGCUUCCGGAGCUAACGCGUUAAGUAGACCGCCUGGGGAGUACGGCCGCAAGGUUAAAACUCAAAUGAAUUGACGGGGGCCCGCACAAGCGGUGGAGCAUGUGGUUUAAUUCGAUGCAACGCGAAGAACCUUACCUGGUCUUGACAUCCACAGAAGAAUCCAGAGAUGGAUUUGUGCCUUCGGGAACUGUGAGACAGGUGCUGCAUGGCUGUCGUCAGCUCGUGUUGUGAAAUGUUGGGUUAAGUCCCGCAACGAGCGCAACCCUUAUCCUUUGUUGCCAGCGAUUAGGUCGGGAACUCAAAGGAGACUGCCAGUGAUAAACUGGAGGAAGGUGGGGAUGACGUCAAGUCAUCAUGGCCCUUACGACCAGGGCUACACACGUGCUACAAUGGCGCAUACAAAGAGAAGCGACCUCGCGAGAGCAAGCGGACCUCAUAAAGUGCGUCGUAGUCCGGAUUGGAGUCUGCAACUCGACUCCAUGAAGUCGGAAUCGCUAGUAAUCGUGGAUCAGAAUGCCACGGUGAAUACGUUCCCGGGCCUUGUACACACCGCCCGUCACACCAUGGGAGUGGGUUGCAAAAAGAAGUAGGUAGCUUAACCUUCGGGAGGGCGCUUACCACUUUGUGAUUCAUGACUGGGGUGAAGUCGUAACAAGGUAACCGUAGGGGAACCUGCGGUUGGAUCACCUCCUUACCUUAAAGAA